rnacentral:rRNA from 1 species
GACGAACGCUGGCGGCGUGCUUAACACAUGCCAGUCGAACGGAAAGGCCCUGCUUUUGUGGGGUGCUCGAGUGGCGAACGGGUGAGUAACACGUGAGUAACCUGCCCUUGACUUUGGGAUAACUUCAGGAAACUGGGGCUAAUACCGGAUAGGAGCUCCUGCUGCAUGGUGGGGGUUGGAAAGUUUCGGCGGUUGGGGAUGGACUCGCGGCUUAUCAGCUUGUUGGUGGGGUAGUGGCUUACGAAGGCUUUGACGGGUAGCCGGCCUGAGAGGGUGACCGGCCACAUUGGGACUGAGAUACGGCCCAGACUCCUACGGGAGGCAGCAGUGGGGAAUAUUGCACAAUGGGCGGAAGCCUGAUGCAGCAACGCCGCGUGCGGGAUGACGGCCUUCGGGUUGUAAACCGCUUUCGCCUGUGACGAAGCGUGAGUGACGGUAAUGGGUAAAGAAGCACCGGCUAACUACGUG